CCCUUAGAUGUUCUGGGCCGCACGCGCGCUACACUGAUGCAUUCAACGAGUCUAAAACCUGCUCUGAUAGGGGUGGGUAAUCUUUUGAAUGUGCAUCGUGAUUGGGAUAGAUGAUUGCAAUUUUUCAUCUUCAACGAGGAAUGCCUAGUAAACGCAAGUCAUCAGCUUGCAUUGAUUACGUCCCUGCCCUUUGUACACACCGCCCGUCGCACCUACCGAUUGAAUGGUCCGGUGAGAAUUUUGGAUUGAUGUUUCGUCGGGUUAACGCCAGACUUUACGUUGAGAAGUUAUUCAAACCUUACCAUUUAGAGGAAGGUGAAGUCGUAACA
rnacentral:rRNA from 1 species